UACAGGGGGUGCAAACGUUGCUCGGAAUCAUUGGGCGUAAAGCGCACGUAGGCGGCUGAGUAAGUCAGGCGUGAAAUCCCCCGGCUCAACCGGGGAACUGCGCUUGAUACUGCUCGGCUUGAGGUCCGGAGGGGAGAGUGGAAUUCCCGGUGGAGCGGUGAAAUGCGUAGAGAUCGGGAAGAACGCCGGCGGCGAAAGCGACUCUCUGGUCGGAUCCUGACGCUGAGGUGCGAAAGCUAGGGGAGCAAACGGG
rnacentral:rRNA from 1 species